GAUGAACGCUGGCGGCGUGCCUAAUACAUGCAAGUCGAGCGAACGGACGAGAAGCUUGCUUCUCUGAUGUUAGCGGCGGACGGGUGAGUAACACGUGGAUAACCUACCUAUAAGACUGGGAUAACUUCGGGAAACCGUAGCUAAUACCGGAUAAUAUUUUGAACCGCAUGGUUCAAAAGUGAAAGACGGUCUUGCUGUCACUUAUAGAUGGAUCCGCGCUGCAUUAGCUAGUUGGUAAGGUAACGGCUUACCAAGGCAACGAUGCAUAGCCGACCUGAGAGGGUGAUAGGCCACACUGGAACUGAGCCACGGUCCAGACUCCUACGGGAGGCAGCAGUAGGGAAUCUUCCGCAAUGGGCGAAAGCCUGACGGAGCAACGCCGAGUGAGUGAUGAAGGUCUUCGGAUCGUAAAACUCUGUUAUUAGGGAAGAACAUAUGUGUAAGUAACUGUGCACAUCUUGACGGUACCUAAUCAGAAAGCCACGGCUAACUACGUG
rnacentral:rRNA from 1 species